GAUGAACGCUAGCUACAGGCUUAACACAUGCAAGUCGAGGGACCGGCGCACGGGUGAGUAACACGUAUCAACCCCGCCUUUUACUCGGGGAUAGCCUUUCGACAGUAAGUUUAAUACUCGAUUUUAAGGUUGGGGAUGCGUUCCAUUAGGUUGUUGGUGAGGUAACGUCGCACCAAGCCUACGAUGGAUAGGGGUUCUGAGCGGAAGGUCCCCCGCAUUGGAACUGAGGUACGGUCCAAGCUCCGACGGGGGGGAGCAGUGAGGAAUAGUGGUGAAUGGGCGCUAGCCUGAAACAGCCAAGUAGCGGGAAGGAUGAAGGGUUAUGGGUCGUAAACUUCUUUUAUAGAAGAAAAGGUAUUAAAUGAGUAAGGAUCGGCUAACUCCGUGCCAGCAGCCGCGGUAAUAC
rnacentral:rRNA from 1 species